UACGUAGGGGGCGAGCGUUGUCCGGAUUCAUUGGGCGUAAAGCGCGCGUAGGCGGCUUCGCAAGUCGGCCGUGAAAUCUCCGGGCUCAACUCGGAGGGGUCGGGCGAGACUGCGAGGCUCGAGGUGGGCAGAGGGCAGUGGAAUUCCGGGUGUAGUGGUGGAAUGCGUAGAGAUCCAGAGGAACACCAGUGGCGAAGGCGGCUGCCUGGGCCUGGCCUGACGCUGAGGCGCGAAAGCGUGGGGAGCAAUCCGG
rnacentral:rRNA from 1 species